UGUCAGCGCCUUCCCGCCCUUUUCUCACUCAGGUGCGAGGACAUGAUUGUCUCGUCCGUUAUUUUUGGCGGGCUUCACCUCAGCCGCAUCCUUCGGGUUGCAGCGGGGGUUCAGACUCCUUUACCCUGGGGCUGGAGCUGCUGCGGGCGCUCACCCUCGUGUUUCCUGCUCUCCGUCCUGAGCAAACCUGGAGUAAUAAAUACACUGUUGCUUGUUAAGACAGAGAAAAGAAAUGAAAAGGAGUCUAGCUGAUGCUCCAACUCGUAGCACAGCAGGUUAUCUGCCUGUACCUCUGUUCAAUCAGAAAAAACGAAAUAGGCAGCCCCUGACUUCAAAUCCACUUAAAAGUGAGCCAGGAACCAGUUCUGGGACUUGUACUUACAACUUUUCUCCCACAUCUUACGGCUGGGGAUCUGCAAACCCAGAGGAGGAUGAAUUACAGAAAGCAGCAAACAAUGGGGCAGAAGAGAAGAGUCCCAGUGCUAAAGUUUGGAAUAGAAAUGAGUAUGCUCCUUUAAGUAACAUGAAAGAUUCAAGACCUGAGAGUGGAAUUAUUCGAAAGUUUGAGAACCUUUCAUAUAGUGUGAAAACUGUUCAGCAGCAAAAAUCCCCUAAUAACCGUAAUUCAUCCCGACUUCUGAAAACAACAGAAACCUGCCAAACAUCAACAUCUAAAGGUCAAUGGCCAAUGAAACCUAACACUGUUUCAAGAAGUCUGCAGGAUCAUUGUCUGGCAUAUAAAUUUACCUACAAUAUCCAUCAAAAUAAAAUAAAUGAAAACAAAUUUGACUGUGUUCCAGAAGACAAAUGUCAGCAAUUUUCAUCAUCUCAAUUAAAAAUCAAAGAAAAAAAGAAUUCUUUGCGUAUCAUAUCUGCAGUCAUUGAAAGUAUGAGGCACUGGAGUCAAUAUGCUUAUAAAACACCACUGCUAUUUGAAGUUUUAGGCACCCUGGAUUCUGCAGUCACACCUGGAACAUAUGGGUCUAAGAAUUUCCUUUUGAGGGAUGGAAAGGAGAGUCUGCCUUGUGUAUUUUAUGAAAUUGUCCUCAUCACCUGCAUUCUCACCAGUAACUCACAGCUACUGCUGACUUCAAGGCAGUCUGAAGCCCAGUCCACAUGCAUUGGUUCAACUACAAAUCCUCAAAGAGAAGAGGGAAAGCUGCUCCUCCUUAGUUCUUGUGCCUUUAGUUCAGCUUCUCAUUGUUUAUACUACUCUAAGCAAAAUAACUGUUCUGGAAAUGCAGUCAUUUACAAAAUCCAGCCCACUAAGCCUUAAACAGCAGAGACAUGUCCUGCUAUGUUUGUUCCUUUGUUGUUGCUAUGGCAUUACCACACAUUUUUCCAUGUGGGAAAGGAAAUCCCAUGGAGACCGGAUAAUAAAGGCCCGAAUUUCCAGGGCACACUGUCCGUCUCGCCUCUUGACCUGUUUGACACCCUCUUUCACCAAACCUGCAUUCACUGAACCCAAAUAAACGGCCAGCCAUCAAAGGAAGUAUUUUAAAAGGAUUGCUCAUGGUUAGCCUUGAUGAAAUACACACUGGAAAACCUGCAUUUCAAUCACGUUUGGAGUUCUGCAUUUCAAAAAUGGUUUUGUUUAACUACAUCAGACUUGUCAUUCAGGGAAGUUUCCUUCCGUAGGAUGACUGCAUUUAAAAGUCAAGUUAACCAAACCCAGACAAAUUUCCCAGGAGGCUGUAGAAAGCCAGACAAGCAUCUCACACAGUACCUGACCUCUGUGCUGUACCAGGUGUAUCUGCCUGCUAUCAGCAAGAGGCCAAGAUGCUGCAUGUUUAUACAUCACCAAAUCACAGUGGAGUGUCAUGUCAGGAGGUUUCAUCAGAAUAUCAUCAUUGUAUGUUUGUUGUUGGGACAACCUUGGCUUUGACUCUCCACUUGACUUGACACUGGUUUAUAAAGAUUAAUCCUGUUUGCACAGAAUCAUUGUGCCUUGCUUUAUCUUAGAAAUAGCUAUUUCAUGGUGUUCCCUGAGAUUAUACUUUACAUGUAUGUUAAAAUUGAUGUGUAAAUACAAGUUUGUAAAAUGCUCUGGGACUUUAGUUCUACGUGAAUUUUCAUUCAGGCCAAUAUACAAGAUAGUAAUUGUCAUACUCUAAUAUUCAACUAAUUUUAAUGUAUAUCUAAUUAUAAUUUGUCACCUGUUGAUGUAGUUAUUAGGGAAGAAUGUGCAGUUCACAACUGACCAAAGAGCAAAUGUGUCAGCAUCAGGAUUGUUCUGAUGCAAAAUGUCAUGGUGUAUUUUGAACCAAACCUCUUGGACUUCAUUUAUUGUGUCUUGCACUGCUGUCAUUUCUGUGUAACAUAAUUCAAAGGCACUGGCCUAGCCAUCCAGGCAUAUUAAAAGUGCCUUUUUUCCUCUCAUCUUUCAAAACCACAUAUCUAUAUUGCAUAUAGGAUACUGCAGCCAGAAAACACAACCAGCCAGCAAAGGAUAAUCUGCCACAGGCAACAUGCACCUUGUGGCCUUCCAAAUUCUUCAGACAACACAGGAAAACAAACAGCAGCCUUACAGACUUAAUGGACUUCUAAUGGAUUUGAUGGAUUCUGCAUCAGCAGUUUCUAAUGGAACAUCUAAAGAGGACAGUUUUCCUUCCCAGAGAUUCCUAUAGGACGUGAAGUUGGAGUGCAAAGGCUCCAACUUGUAACACUUCAAUGCUGUGGAAGAGAACUCAUGGCAAGACUGAAAUCCUUCAUCUCUUCUGAAAAGUGAUUGAGUUUCCAGGAGAUAGUAAGCGAGCUGUCUCAUAUCACAGCACUCAAUAGUAGCAAAAGGCACCAGUAAAUCCCAUGAAGUUUGUGAUCUCCUUGAUCCAUUUAACUCAACUCCCCAGGGCUGGUGACAAGGAGGUGCAGAAACUGGGGCUUGAAGUCUGCUCCCAUGCCCAGAGAGAGGCUAUGGUCAUAGAUGGGGAGUUGUUGUACAGUUAUCAAAAAGAAGACAAAGUCCAAAAUGCUUUUGUUGAAUACAGCUAGGCAGCAGUGGUAAUAGAUUCCUCCUAGUUAUAUAUCCGUGACUUUGUCAUUUUUGCCUAAUCUUCUAACUUCAGCUAUUGAUAAAUAAAUAGUUUUACAAACCAGAGUGUAAAUCACCAUUCACUGCUGAGCUACUAUUGUGCCUCCCAUUUAUAAGGCAGCUUGCAAGCUUGUUUUUUUAAUCAGUUUGGCUUGACAUUUUAUUUUCCUACUAUUAUUUAUGAGCUGUAUCUUAUGAAUGGAUUAUGUAAAAUAGUUUAAUUCCAGUUGUUGCAAUUUCUCAGAUUCCAUCACACAAAAGCUUACUUUGAGUAGAACACUCAGGUCCAGACUUUGUUCUCAGUUGUGCUGAUACAAAUUAGACCAUCAUCCACUGAGAUCAAAAGGGCUUUGCUCAGAUUUACAACCCUUAGGGGCAUUUAGGAAAAAUUCUGAGGAAUGUGCUUUUUAGAGUAAGCAAAAGCACAUUGCUGCUUCCA